CAAUCCACAAAUACAAUCCAAUACAAUCCAUACGAAAUCACAUUGAAACAUAGCUCGAUUACACAUACACUUAUGCGCGCGAGACGGCAGUAUCAGUAUGAAUAUGCGUAACAUGUACGAAGCUGCUAAUGAAGGUAGUACUAAUUAACAGUUAAAAU